GUGAUUGUAGCUCAGUUGGUUAGAGCACUGGUUUGUGGUGCCGGGGGUCGUGGGUUCGAAUCCCAUCAGUCACCCCA
rnacentral:tRNA from 1 species